rnacentral:sRNA from 1 species
UUCUGUUAGUUUAUCUCCCUUGUUUACAUCUACAUCUUUUCUGUUAGUUUAUCUCCCUUGUAGAUGUAAACAAGGGAGAUAAACUAACAGAAAAGAUGUAGAUGUAAACAAGGGAGAUAAACUAACAGAAAAGAUGUAGAUGUAAACAAGGGAGAUAAACUGACGGAA